rnacentral:rRNA from 1 species
AACGAACGCUGGCGGCAGGCCUAACACAUGCAAGUCGAGCGGACCCUUCGGGGUUAGCGGCGGACGCGAGUGUAACGCGUGGGAAUGUGCAGUUAUCUACGGGAUAGUACUGUUAAACGGGGGAUAAUACCGGGUAUGCUCUGUGGAUGCAGGAUUCAUCUCGCAAGGAGUAGCAGGCGAUGGAUUAGGUUUUUGCUGGGGUAAAGGCCUACCAAGACGACGAUCGAUAGCUGGUUUGAGAGGAAGAGCAGCGACACUGGUAGUGAGAUCCGGCGCAGAAUCCUACGCGAUGCAGAAGUGGGUAAUCUGAGCAAAUGGGGGCAGUCCAGAAGUAGCCAUGCCGGGUGAGUGAUGAAGGGCUUAGGGUAGUACAGCUCUUUCAUGUGGGGAGGUAAUGACGGUACCAGCAGAAGAAGCCCCGGCUAACUACGUG